AUACGUAGGUGGCAAGCGUUAUCCGGAAUUAUUGGGCGUAAAGAGGGAGCAGGCGGCAGCAAGGGUCUGUGGUGAAAGCCUGAAGCUUAACUUCAGUAAGCCAUAGAAACCAGGCAGCUAGAGUGCAGGAGAGGAUCGUGGAAUUCCAUGUGUAGCGGUGAAAUGCGUAGAUAUAUGGAGGAACACCAGUGGCGAAGGCGACGAUGUGGCCUGCAACUGACGCUCAGUCCCGAAAGCGUGGGGAGCAAAUAGGAUUAGAUACCCUAGUAGUCCACGCCGUAAACGAUGAGUACUAAGUGUUGGAUGUCAAAGUUCAGUGCUGCAGUUAACGCAAUAAGUACUCCGCCUGAGUAGUACGUUCGCAAGAAUGAAACUCAAAUGAAUUGACGGG
rnacentral:rRNA from 1 species